UACGUAGGGGGCAAGCGUUAUCCGGAUUUACUGGGUGUAAAGGGAGCGUAGACGGCUGUGCAAGUCUGAAGUGAAAGGCAUGGGCUCAACCCGUGGACUGCUUUGGAAACUGUGCAGCUAGAGUGUCGGAGAGGCAAGUGGAAUUCCUAGUGUAGCGGUGAAAUGCGUAGAUAUUAGGAGGAACACCAGUGGCGAAGGCGGUCUGCUGGACAGCAACUGACGCUGAGGCUCGAAAGCGUGGGGAGCAA
rnacentral:rRNA from 1 species